GGUUUCGUAGUGUAGUGGCCCAUCACGUUUCGUUUACACCGAAAAGGUCGCGAGUUCGAUCCUCGCCGAAACCU
rnacentral:tRNA from 1 species